GAUCCUGGCUCAGGAUGAACGCUAGCUACAGGCUUAACACAUGCAAGUCGAGGGGCAGCAUGAACUUAGCUUGCUAAGUUUGAUGGACGACCGGCGCACGGGUGAGUAACACGUAUCCAACCUUCCGUUUACUCAGGGAUAGCCUUUCGAAAGAAAGAUUAAUACCUGAUAGUAUGGUGAGAUUGCAUGAUAGCACCAUUAAAGAUUUAUCGGUGUACGAUGGGGAUGCGUUCCAUUAGGUAGUAGGCGGGGUAACGGCCCACCUAGCCUACGAUGGAUAGGGGGUUCUGAGAGGAAGGUCCCCCACAUUGGAACUGAGACACGGUCCAAACUCCUACGGGAGGCAGCAGUGAGGAAUAUUGGUCAAUGGACGAGAGUCUGAACCAGCCAAGUAGCGUGAAGGGAUGAAGGUCCUACGGAUUGUAAACUUCUUUUAUAAGGGAAUAAAACCUCCCACGUGUGGGAGCUUGUAUGUACCUUAUGAAUAAGCAUCGGCUAACUCCGUG
rnacentral:rRNA from 1 species